GCCAUUUAGCAAAUAUUUGAUGAAGAAUUAAUCUUUGAGAAUUUAAUAUUUCCUGCUUUGUUCAAAUAUGACCUAAAGCAUAUUUGAAGGAAAGAGAGAAAUGCAAGAAUAAGACAAAGAGAAGAUGAAGGAAAAGAAAAACUGAAGGACAGCAGUUUGGAAAUACUGCACGAUGGCAGAAUAGGCCCCAGUGUUGUGGCUUCAGUCCUGGGCGACGAUGCACCAUGAGGUUUUGGAUGAUGUGCAGAAGGAAAGAAGCAAGUAUCAAGGCUCAGGUUGCUUCAGAACCACAUCCAAAGUAAGGGUUCAACAGACACUGCUGAUUGAGCAAGUGACUCAAGUUGGGACUGCAGAGCCAUGAGGCUCCUCCUUUGGGGUGCAUUCCAAGUGGAUGGAGAAGGCUGGUGUGGCAGAAAAGAAACAGACCUUGGACUCAGGAAGAAUUGGGGUCUAAUUGUAGCUCUGCCUCUACCAGGCAAAACAUGCAGGAAGGCAGUGCAGGCCGGGCUCACCGGCAGAGCUGAUGACUUUUCCCUGAAGAAAGAAGAGGCAGGAAAUCAAAGAGAAACAUCCCUGAAGACCCUUCCGUCCACUCCCGGGCAGCCAUGAACCAAGACCCGCUAACCAUGGCCAAGUGGAAGGCAGGGUCCACCUUGGCCCUGUCCGAGUCAGCCCAGCCUCAACCCCACCAGGACGCAGUUGGCUGCUCUCUGGCUGACAGUUUGAGUCACAAGUGGAACCAAGCAUGUUGCCCAGUGUGACGGCGAGGGCAGGCGGAGGCCCCGCGCCACUCUGAGCAGAACACACUUGUGCUCUGCUGGCUUAUGGAACAAGGCUCACUUUCAUUUCCUCUGUCCCCUGCUGCCUGAGGAGGAGGUGUCACCUGGCAAACCAUCUCCAGGCAGAUGUGACUGCUCCGUGGGCUCUGCACAGGGCAGGGGCGGGCAAGUGCUCAUGAACUUAGAGUCACGGCAGGCGGGAGGAGGAGGCAGGAUCACCCCACUUCUCACAGCUGGGGAAGCAGGGAGCCGGUGGCGGGGUGGUGACCUAUCUUCUUUGUCCACAGAGGACUUAAUCAGCGCCCUGCUGGGAUGGGAAUCAUCCAGGGCUCUGGAGUCCAGUGCAGGGAUCUCCUCAGCUCUUCCCCUCUCUGCACCUGUGUUCUCUCGGGUCCGCUUGCCUGGCACGCCUUUCCCUGGUGCUUUGCUAUGCCCUGGAAGUCUCGGCUCAGGCCUUGUCUCCCACCAGAAGCCUUCCCUGGGCACACACCUGCCCCAGGCUGAGCAACAGAAGCGCUCUCUUGCCUUGCUGUCCUGCCUCUGGCUGUGUUCUCCCCACCUGCUCCAGGGCAGGUCUUUGAGGGUGGUGGUGGGGGGAACGGCCAGAAUGGUUACAAUGCACAGCCUGGGAGUCCAGAUCAGCUCUCUCCCCUGACAGCGUCCCCUUGGAGCUUUGGAAUUUUGUGGUCAGCUAACAUUUGUGAGGUUGCCUUACUUCUAAAAAAAGCUCAUUUUUACCUACAGAGAUGAUAUAAUUUAAAGAUUCAAGCAUGGGCUUCUACUUAGGAUCAGAAGUUUGUUUUCCAAGGAAUACAAAGUGGGUUCGUUUAUCUACAAUAACAGCCCUGAAUUUCCUCUUGGAAGCCCUCAAAAGACCCCAUGUGUCCCCUGCGUCUUUGUUGUGGUUAUUAGUUCAUUAAUGACCCUUUGUAAAAAUAAGAAUGUUCUCUGGGUUAGAAGAUGGCAGGGAUUUGGUGUUUGGGGUUAAAUUGCCAGUAACAGCCCUCAGAGGACAAGAAGGAGACAGGAAAUGAUAAGUCUGGAAGUGAGAUAGGAGCCGUCAUUGACAGGGAAAGAGGAAAAGAUGAAGGUGUCACCAUGAGACUCAUCCUUCAAAUUGCUCCUGGGCAAAAGAGGUCCAUGGUAGAUAAGAGGAUUCUCCCUGUCAGUGAUUUCUAAGUUCCUCUGCAUGUUUGAUCCACCUGUGGAGAUUUAAAAAAAUACAAAUGCCUAGUAAGGUUGAAAUUUAUAGACCAUGAAAUAGAUAUUUGGGGUGUAAAUUCCAGACGUUAGUAUUUGUUAACAUUGCCCCAGAUCAUUUUAGUGUUCAGGCCAAGGAGAGAACCAGUGGUGUGAGCCCUCCACUUAGCAAUGACACGGGGGUCUGUGCACUUCUCAGUGGGAACUCGGUGUCAUUGAAACUUAUCUUUAAAACUUUGAAUUUGGGGACUACAAGUCAAGCUCAGAGGCAGAGCAUGUGCCUAGCAUGCAUGAGACGCCGAGUUCUGUCUCUGGCAUCACAAAAUCAAACAAAACACGUUAGAAUUUGGCCUUUGGAUUUGUUGAGACUGUGAGUACCUUGUUCAUGGCGCUUGCUUUGGACUCGGCCCCUUCCCAGGCCAACCGCAUUCUGAAGAGCAUCACUCCACCCGCCCUGAGCACCCACGUUCUACCUGCCCACACUUGUUGCCUUGGAGAAAACACAGUCACGCCCAGGUCACCCACCACUGAGCUUCAUGAGGACUCAAAAAACAGACAGCCUGGCCCCUUUACAGCCUUUGCUCAGUUUGAACUCUCUGUAGUUCGGCAGAAUCGAGGCCUUCCAGAAAAAAAAUGGCCCUUUUCAUUCCUCUUUGGAAACAGUGUACGAGCCAGUGGAGAGGCCAGACACUUUGAAACCCAACGUACCUGGCUUCAAAUCCCAGGCAUUUCCUGGGCACAUGACUUUGUCAAUCACUGUUAUGGUUUGGAUGUGGUGUCCCCCAAAAGCUCACGUGGUGCAAUGCAAGAAGGUUCAGAGAAGAAACGACUGGGUUGUGAGAGCCUUAUCCCAGUCAGUGAGUUAAUCCCCUGAUAGGGAUUAACUGGGUGGUAACCAAAGUGGUGGGUGUGGCUGGGGAGGUGGGAACUGGGGUGUGGCUUUGGGUAGGUAUUUAUAUCUGGAGAGUGGACUCUCUCUGGCUUAUGGAAUUAUCACAAUGUGAGCUGCGUCCCCCUGCCACCCUCUCCACCAUGCUGUUCAGCCUGGCCUCAGGCCCCAAGGAACGGAGCCAGCCUUCUAUGCGCUGGGACCUCUGAAACCAGGAGCCCUCAAAUAAACUCUCCCCCUCUGUAAGGAA